rnacentral:rRNA from 1 species
AUUGAACGCUGGCGGCAGGCCUAACACAUGCAAGUCGAGCGGAUGAAGGGAGCUUGCUCCUGGAUUCAGCGGCGGACGGGUGAGUAAUGCCUAGGAAUCUGCCUGGUAGUGGGGGAUAACGUCCGGAAACGGGCGCUAAUACCGCAUACGUCCUGAGGGAGAAAGUGGGGGAUCUUCGGACCUCACGCUAUCAGAUGGGCCUAGGUCGGAUUAGCUAGUUGGUGGGGUAAAGGCCUACCAAGGCGACGAUCCGUAACUGGUCUGAGAGGAUGAUCAGUCACACUGGAACUGAGACACGGUCCAGACUCCUACGAGAGGCAGCAGUGGGGAAUAUUGGACAAUGGGCGAAAGCCUGAUCCAGCCAUGCCGCGUGUGUGAAGAAGGUCUUCGGAUUGUAAAGCACUUUAAGUUGGGAGGAAGGGCAGUAAGUUAAUACCUUGCUGUUUUGACGUUACCAACAGAAUAAGCACCGGCUAACUUCGUG